UACGAAGGGGGCUAGCGUUGUUCGGAAUCACUGGGCGUAAAGCGCACGUAGGCGGGUCGUUAAGUCGGGGGUGAAAUGCCAAGGCUCAACCUUGGAACUGCCUUCGAUACUGGCGAUCUCGAGUCCGGGAGAGGUGAGUGGAACUCCGAGUGUAGAGGUGAAAUUCGUAGAUAUUCGGAAGAACACCAGUGGCGAAGGCGGCUCACUGGCCCGGUACUGACGCUGAGGUGCGAAAGCGUGGGGGAGCAAACAGG
rnacentral:rRNA from 1 species